ensembl:lincRNA A930007I19Rik RIKEN cDNA A930007I19 gene
GCGCGUCACGUGACUCCCGGGCUGCGCUUGGAGCUGGGUCUCUGCGACUCCAAGGCUUGGGGUUCGAGUCUGUACCCACAAAUCCUUUGUGUGCUGCGGUUAAAAAAACCACAGAUGAUGGUGCUGGAUCAUCGCUAGUUAAAGUGCUGGAUAUGCCCAAGGUCACAUGGCCUAAGAAAAACUGCUCUCCCUUCCAAGGACCCAGCAGUCUUUAGACCAGCUCAAGGUGAAGUGUGAGAGUGGCCUGAACAUGGACAGGAGGAGGAGACCCUCUGGUCCUUUCUCACUUGGGAGUGAUGGGUUGAGACCUCCAGGAGGAGAACAGACAGAGCCUGUGGGGGCCUGGCCCUGAGUGCUGUGGACCCAAACACAGCAGCAAGAUUCCUUAUGUAGGCCUGCGAACAAAAGAAGGACCCUCGAGAGAGUGUCUCAGAAUUCUGCCAAGAUAAAAGGGUCCCAUCAGACAUUGAAGGACAAGCAGAUAGCAGCACAGCAGCGAAGAGGCCAUAGACCAGACAUGCCUCCGUUUUUAAGCUACUGUGUGAGCCUGAUGCCCUAGAAUUAUGGAGUGGUCUCCGUCCUGAAACUCGAGUCUGAGUUUCACUGGUCUGGAAACACUCAGCAACAAACACCAGCCCCUCACGACAGAGUUGCAGCUUACUCUCUGGAUCCAUGAUGCUCAGGACUUUCUUUAGCACCAGUGAAUGGCUGGGUAAAAGAACAAGGAAAACAGGCUGAUGCCCUCAUGCUGGCAAUUCCCUGGAAUAGCACAGAUGUCUAAGUCGCAUUCAGGCCUGAGUUCCAGCAAGUACCCCGGGCAGUGGCUGCACCACUGUAACAGACGGAAUUGAUGGGAAAAUGCCUACUUCCCCAAGGACCCUGGGUGGCUCUUGCUGCCCUGACUGCGCCCUGGGAGUUGUCUUCAGGGUCCCUCAGAAGCCCUCACAAUCUACAACUACAAGAGAAACUCUUGCUUCAGCAAGGCAUAUCUGAGGCGCUUCUCUGGAAUUUAUGCCAGUGACCAUCCUGAGUGGCCCGGGGAGUGGUUGGACAGCUGGGUGGAUUUUGGAGUCCCAAUCCUGGAGAGCAAGUCUCGAUUCUUGUUCUCCACACGUCACCGAAAAGCAUCCAGGCUCAGCGCACUUCUCCGUUCCUCGCUGCUUCUUACCUUACUUCUGAUCACGAGCUCCCUUCUGUUUUGAAUUCCUUGGAGCCCGUCUCCCUUCAUUGGACAUACAACUGUAUGCAAUCUCAGUUUUGAUACAACUUUCCCAGCUUGUGAUGUAUAUUUCUCUAGUUUUCUUUGAACCCCCCAGUGUGAAACAUAUCUAAUACAACGUUUUGUACUCUUCAUGACACAUAGCUGUCGGGGAUUCAAAUCACAAGAUAGAAUGUAAUACGCCCCGGGGAGUGGGUGGACCCCAUAUACCCUUGAAACAGAAGGAUGUUGCUGAGAUGGUCCAGUGCCUUACCCUGUCACUCAGAUGCUCAGUCAGAAAAUAAAAGCUCUGGUUGAACUGGCUUUGAACUGUCCCUCAGGGCCUUCAUGCUUUCCCAACAGCCCUCACAGAGUCACUUCCACUAUGUCGCAGUCACCUGGGGAUGACACUCUAAAGACUCUUCAUUCUGAGAACAUUGAACAAAAGUUUUUGUGUUUUGGGAAAGGACCCUUGCACUCCCUACACAUGACUUUUCUACCCUGGGGUGGUUCUUGAAGACAACUUCCCCAAGCAGUCGUCAGAAGGGGUGCUCACACUGUCUCUUGUCACAUGUGGUUCAUAUGCUCAGCCACAGCUCAGUCAUGCGUGUGUGCUCUGGCCCUUGUGACAUCUCCUGAGGCCAGCAGGAUGCUGGCAAGCCCAGUGUCUGCUCAAACUUAUCUUUUAGUUUCUCUUCAGAGUCUCAGAAAAACACAGGUGGAAAUCUGCGCUCGAUAUUGCGGGAAACACAAGUUGUAUGUAUAAAAUUUUGCCAAAACCCCAGUGAAAUUCUAAAAUUUAAACAUAUUUUAAAAAAAUAAUGUUUAAAUGUUUUUAUGCUGAAAAUACUCAAAUUGUGCUUGCCUCUCAAAUACAGUGAGAAUAAAAAUUGCUUACAGUCU